rnacentral:rRNA from 1 species
AUGCUGGAGGUAUCAGAAGUGCGAAUGCUGACAUAAGUAACGAUAAAGCGGGUGAAAAGCCCGCUCGCCGGAAGACCAAGGGUUCCUGUCCAACGUUAAUCGGGGCAGGGUGAGUCGACCCCUAAGGCGAGGCCGAAAGGCGUAGUCGAUGGGAAACAGGUUAAUAUUCCUGUACUUGGUGUUACUGCGAAGGGGGGACGGAGAAGGCUAUGUUGGCCGGGCGACGGUUGUCCCGGUUUAAGCGUGUAGGCUGGUUUUCCAGGCAAAUCCGGAAAAUCAAGGCUGAGGCGUGAUGACGAGGCACUACGGUGCUGAAGCAACAAAUGCCCUGCUUCCAGGAAAAGCCUCUAAGCAUCAGGUAACAUCAAAUCGUACCCCAAACCGACACAGGUGGUCAGGUAGAGAAUACCAAGGCGCUUGAGAGAACUCGGGUGAAGGAACUAGGCAAAAUGGUGCCGUAACUUCGGGAGAAGGCACGCUGAUAUGUAGGUGAAGUCCCUCGCGGAUGGAGCUGAAAUCAGUCGAAGAUACCAGCUGGCUGCAACUGUUUAUUAAAAACACAGCACUGUGCAAACACGAAAGUGGACGUAUACGGUGUGACGCCUGCCCGGUGCCGGAAGGUUAAUUGAUGGGGUCAGCGCAAGCGAAGCUCUUGAUCGAAGCCCCGGUAAACGGCGGCCGUAACUAUAACGGUCCUAAGGUAGCGAAAUUCCUUGUCGGGUAAGUUCCGACCUGCACGAAUGGCGUAAUGAUGGCCAGGCUGUCUCCACCCGAGACUCAGUGAAAUUGAACUCGCUGUGAAGAUGCAGUGUACCCGCGGCAAGACGGAAAGACCCCGUGAACCUUUACUAUAGCUUGACACUGAACAUUGAGCCUUGAUGUGUAGGAUAGGUGGGAGGCUUGGAAGUGUGGACGCCAGUCUGCAUGGAGCCGACCUUGAAAUACCACCCUUUAAUGUUUGAUGUUCUAACGUGGACCCGUGAUCCGGGUUGCGGACAGUGUCUGGUGGGUAGUUUGACUGGGGCGGUCUCCUCCUAAAGAGUAACGGAGGAGCACGAAGGUUGGCUAAUCCUGGUCGGACAUCAGGAGGUUAGUGCAAUGGCAUAAGCCAGCUUGACUGCGAGCGUGACGGCGCGAGCAGGUGCGAAAGCAGGUCAUAGUGAUCCGGUGGUUCUGAAUGGAAGGGCCAUCGCUCAACGGAUAAAAGGUACUCCGGGGAUAACAGGCUGAUACCGCCCAAGAGUUCAUAUCGACGGCGGUGUUUGGCACCUCGAUGUCGGCUCAUCACAUCCUGGGGCUGAAGUAGGUCCCAAGGGUAUGGCUGUUCGCCAUUUAAAGUGGUACGCGAGCUGGGUUUAGAACGUCGUGAGACAGUUCGGUCCCUAUCUGCCGUGGGCGCUGGAGAACUGAGGGGGGCUGCUCCUAGUACGAGAGGACCGGAGUGGACGCAUCACUGGUGUUCGGGUUGUCAUGCCAAUGGCACUGCCCGGUAGCUAAAUGCGGAAGAGAUAAGUGCUGAAAGCAUCUAAGCACGAAACUUGCCCCGAGAUGAGUUCUCCCUGACUCCUUGA